AUGCACGCUGGCGGCGUGCCUCAUACAUGCCAGUCGAGCGCACAGAUGAGGAGCUUGCUCCUCUGACGUUAGCGGCGGACGGGUGAGUAACACGUGGAUAACCUACCUAUAAGACUGGGAUAACUUCGGGAAACCGGAGCUAAUACCGGAUAAUAUAUUGAACCGCAUGGUUCAAUAGUGAAAGACGGUUUUGCUGUCACUUAUAGAUGGAUCCGCGCCGCAUUAGCUAGUUGGUAAGGUAACGGCUUACCAAGGCAACGAUGCGUAGCCGACCUGAGAGGGUGAUCGGCCACACUGGAACUGAGACACGGUCCAGACUCCUACGGGAGGCAGCAGUAGGGAAUCUUCCGCAAUGGGCGAAAGCUUGACGGAGCAACGCCGCGUGAGUGAUGAAGGUCUUCGGAUCGUAAAACUCUGUUAUUAGGGAAGAACAAAUGUGUAAGUAACUAUGCACGUCUUGACGGUACCUAAUCAGAAAGCCACGGCUAACUACGUG
rnacentral:rRNA from 1 species